UACGGAGGGUGCGAGCGUUUGUUCGGAAUUACUGGGCGUAAAGCGCGUGUAGGCGGCCUUCUAAGUCUGGUGUGAAAGCCCGGGGCUCAACCCCGGAAGUGCAUUGGAUACUGGGAGGCUGGAGUACCGGAGAGGAGGGUGGAAUUCCUGGUGUAGCGGUGAAAUGACGUAGAUAUCAGGAGGAACACCGGUGGCGAAGGCGGCCCUCUGGACGGAUACUGACGCUGAGACGCGAAAGCGUGGGGAGCAAACAGG
rnacentral:rRNA from 1 species